rnacentral:rRNA from 1 species
UACAGAGGGUGCGAGCGUUAAUCGGAAUUACUGGGCGUAAAGCGUGCGUAGACGGUUAUUUAAGUCGGGUGUGAAAGCCCCGGGCUCAACCUGGGAAUUGCAUUCGAGACUGAAUAGCUAGGGUACGGUAGAGGGAAGUGGAAUUUCCGGUGUAGCGGUGAAAUGCGUAGAUAUCUGGAGGAACACCGGUGGCGAAGGCGGCAUCCUGGACCGGUAUUGACGCUGAGGCGCGAAAGCUAGGGGAGCAAACGGG